UUCUCAAAGCAAACCUUCCAAUCAUGAACUCCCUUCGCUCAAUCUUUGUGGUCGCCAUUGUUUUGGCUGUGGUCUGCUCUACCUUGGCCAUGCCUGGUGGAUUAGGCUAUGGAUUAGGAGGAUUGGGUGGAGGAUUAGGCCAUGGAUUUGGUGGAGGAUUAGGCCAUGGAUUGAGUGGUGGAUUUGGCAGCGUCACUGUUGUCCGUAAGCCAGUUUAUUCUUAUUACCAAGUCACUCAUCUAAUUGGAUGAACAUAUUCUUUAAUUUGAAAAGUUAUUUUCUCCUAAUCUCAAGGCCUGGUCUGGAAUUAAAUACCAAUUAAUCCUUUUGCCAUGAAGAAAAUUACUUUCCAGCAUACUACUGUAUAUUGUGAGAGUGAUGUAUAAGCCAUAACAAACCUCAGUCUAAUUGUCUACUUCCACUAUCUUGCAGACCUGUGGUAAGCAAAGUCGUUUCCGUCGGCAAAGGAUUCGGAGGACUUGGAGGAUUUGGAGGACUUGGAGGAUUUGGAGGACUUGGAGGAUAUGGAGGACGUUACGGUGGUUAUGGAUGGUAACUUUUUGGAAUACCCAGCGGAUAAAAAAAAUAAUAAAUGAAAUAAUCAGUAA